CCACUAUUUCUUCUCACCACCAUUUUAUCCUCUCUCCUUUGCGUUAACUCCAAAACCCUUGCUUCCCCAAUCCCUCUCCUCUCGAAACUCUAGCUCCCAUGGCGGCCCUCCUAUGCUCCCAGUCCCAGUGCCGCUUCUCCGCUGCCGCCCCAAGAUCCUCCAUUUCGGCAAGGUGGAGCUGCUUCGAUGGCCACCGGAGACCCCUCUGGUUUCGUCGCCUAGGGUUCUGCUGCUCUUCUUCUCCAUCGGGGUUUUGCAAACUCGAUUCCGGAUGGGGAGAGAGAAUUGCUCUCUAAGGAACGGAAAAACCUGUUUUGGGAGUUUACUGAUCUCUGGUUAGAACCAGAUAAAGGCUCAGAUUGUUUGACAGCCAAAUGCUGCAUUCACAAAAUUGUCCAUGAUGGGCGCUUGCUUCUAAGUGAACCCUUGGGAUCAGUUUUUGAAUUUUCUCUUAUGCUUCGGUUAGCAUCUCCUACACUAGUGCUCUACUGGCAGUUGGCGGAGGAUUCUUUAUCUUCUUAUCCUUCUGACGACGAAACCAACUCAGAACAUGUUAUGGGAGACUUGUCAGAGCCAAUUUCAAGAGUCAAGGCAGAACCUUUUCUCAUAUGCAGAAACCUGUGAAGCCCUGGAGGAAGUAGUUGCUGGGUAGAUACUGGUAGUGCACUACUGUUCAAUGUUACUGAUCUUCUUUCAUGGCUUGACACUUCAGCCAAACUUGAGGUUAUAUGUUUAUUUGGAUUUCACCAGAGCUAUGGGAUCUGCUGAGUAGGCUGAACUUUUUGAUUUUGAUCACAUAUAUUUUGGUUCAAGUAUUGCCAGUCCAGUUGCUAUUCUAUAUGGAGCUCUUGGACCAGAAUGCUUUAGAGAGUUUCAUGUUACCUUGGUGGAAGCAUCAAAAAAAGAAGAAGAACUCAUUUCACCUAAAGGAAUGUGCAGUUUCCAUAGCAUUGGCAAUUGGAUUGGUC